rnacentral:rRNA from 1 species
UGGGGAAUAUUGCACAAUGGGCGCAAGCCUGAUGCAGCCAUGCCGCGUGUAUGAAGAAGGCCUUCGGGUUGUAAAGUACUUUCAGCGGGGAGGAAGGGAGUAAAGUUAAUACCUUUGCUCAUUGACGUUACCCGCAGAAGAAGCACCGGCUAACUCCGUGCCAGCAGCCGCGGUAAUACGGAGGGUGCAAGCGUUAAUCGGAAUUACUGGGCGUAAAGCGCACGCAGGCGGUUUGUUAAGUCAGAUGUGAAAUCCCCGGGCUCAACCUGGGAACUGCAUCUGAUACUGGCAAGCUUGAGUCUCGUAGAGGGGGGUAGAAUUCCAGGUGUAGCGGUGAAAUGCGUAGAGAUCUGGAGGAAUACCGGUGGCGAAGGCGGCCCCCUGGACGAAGACUGACGCUCAGGUGUGAAAGCGUGGGGAGCAAACAGG